rnacentral:rRNA from 1 species
AUGACAACCGCAUGGUUGUUAUUUAAAAGAUGGUUCUGCUAUCACUAAGAGAUGGUCCCGCGGUGCAUUAGCUAGUUGGUAAGGUAAUGGCUUACCAAGGCGAUGAUGCAUAGCCGAGUUGAGAGACUGAUCGGCUGCAAUGGGACUGAGACACGGCCCAUACUUCUACGGGAGGCAGCAGUAGGGAAUCUUCCACAAUGGGCGAAAGCCUGAUGGAGCAACGCCGCGUGUGUGAUGAAGGGUUUCGGCUCGUAAAACACUGUUGUAAGAGAAGAAUGACAUUGAGAGUAACUGUUCAAUGUGUGACGGUAUCUUACCAGAAAGGAACGGCUAAAUACGUGCCAGCAGCCGCGGUAAUACGUAUGUUCCAAGCGUUAUCCGGAUUUAUUGGGCGUAAAGCGAGCGCAGACGGUUAUUUAAGUCUGAAGUGAAAGCCCUCAGCUCAACUGAGGAAUUGCUUUGGAAACUGGAUGACUUGAGUGCAGUAGAGGAAAGUGGAACUCCAUGUGUAGCGGUGAAAUGCGUAGAUAUAUGGAAGAACACCAGUGGCGAAGGCGGCUUUCUGGACUGUAACUGACGUUGAGGCUCGAAAGUGUGGGUAGCAAACAGGAUUAGAUACCCUGGUAGUCCACACCGUAAACGAUGAGUGCUAGGUGUUUGAGGGUUUCCGCCCUUAAGUGCCGCAGCUAACGCAUUAAGCACUCCGCCUGGGAGUACGACCGCAAGGUUGAAACUCAAGGAAUUGACGGGGACCCGCACAAGCGGUGGAGCAUGUGGUUUAAUUCGAAGCAACGCGAGAACCU